GACGAAGGUGGCGAGCGUUGUUCGGAAUCACUGGGCUUAAAGCGCAUGUAGGCGGCCUGUCAAGUGUCUUGUGAAAUCCCCCGGCUCAACCGGGGAAUUGCUGGGCAAACUGAUGGGCUUGAGGCAGGUAGGGGCGAGUGGAACUCUUGGUGGAGCGGUGGAAUGCGUAGAGAUCAAGAGGAACGCCGGAGGUGAAGACGACUCGCUGGGCCUGUCCUGACGAUGAGAUGCGAAAGACAGGGGAGCAAACGGG
rnacentral:rRNA from 1 species